ACUGCAAGGAAGCCGGGAAAAGGUGAAGUCCCAUUCGUGGGCCUAGCUUUAGCUCGGUGACAUGGCAGAAGUCGUAACAAGGCACGCGUAGCGGAAGCUGUGCGUGGAACAAUUAAACU
rnacentral:rRNA from 1 species